GACGAACGCUGGCGGCGUGCUUAACACAUGCAAGUCGAACGGAAAGGCCUGCUUUCCCUUGUGGAUUGCGGGUACUCGAGUGGCGAACGGGUGAGUAACACGUGAGUGAUCUGCCCCCAACUUGGGUAUAAGCCUGGGAAACUGGGUCUAAUUCCCGAUAGGACUGCAGGGUGGUGCCUGUGGUGGCAAACGAUCUUCUAGUGGUUGGGGAUGAGCUCGCGGCCUAUCAGCUUGUUGGUGGGGUAAUGGCCUACCAAGGCGGCGACGGGUAGCCGGCCUGAGAGGGUGGACAGCCACAUUGAGACUGAGUUACGGCCCAGACGGCUACGGGAGGCAGCAGUGGGGAAUAUUGCACAGUGAGCGGAAGCCUGAUGCAGCGACGCCGCGUGGGGGAUGACGGCCUUCGAGUUGUAAGCUCCUUUCGACCGCGAGGAAGCCACCUGGUUGGAAGGGUGGUGACGGUAGUGGUAGAAGAAGCACCGGCUAACUACGUG
rnacentral:rRNA from 1 species